AGCUUUCUAAAAUCUCUUUAGGGGUGUGCGUAGGCUCCUGUGUCUAUGCCUGCUUUUGACUGCCCAGUUGAAGCCUCUUCCUAUGCCUUUUAAAAUUUCACGCACUAUAAGGAGGAAGAGCUCAGGGCUCCCAAAACUUUUUAUUUAGAGGGAAGAAUGCUAGGGAGAUGGGUAUGCAGAGGGUUGACCAAAUUGGAAGAAAAUAUUUAUUCUGUAGUUUGGUGUUGGAAAAGGGAAUUUUCCAAUCAGCCACACCUCAGUGUUGCGGCAAAAUAAUUCUUGGCUCCCCUGGAAACGCAUGGGCAAGGUAGGGCAGAGCUGCUGCUGCUGAUACUGCCACCACCCUGGGCUUCCUGCUGACUCUGGGCUACUCCCUGGGGACAACAGAUUUGCAUUGACGUCCGGGGCUGUCCAGAGGCCCUCAAGAGCCAGUUGUGAGCUGAGCCCAGUAUGGGAAAGAUCUACCUUCUGGAAGCUACUACUACGUGGUGCUUGGAAAGAGGACUCAGGAGAGUGCAGCUUGCUCUGUGAGUGGGUGACAACCUCUUGGCGACUCAGGCUCAGCUGAGGAUGGUGCCAGUGUGCCGGAGACAGCCGUCAUACUGCCGGAUAGAGUGGCUCACUUGCAUGUAUUUGGAACAAAAAAAGGAGAUGCCUGGCAGCCCCGCUCUCUGCAGUGCUGUUGAGCCACCAAUUUUUGUGGUUUUGUGACCACAAGUGCUGACUGAUGCGACAUGACCCCAGUCUUGUCAGUGAAUCAUCACCAGGCUGCUUACUGGAAACUGGAUGCAGCAAGGAAAUAGGAUUUAACCGCUCUCUGCCUCCCAGGAGCCCUGAAAUCAGCAUUCCCAGAGGAAAGAAGAUGGCCAUCUGGGCUUGGCUUCCGGCUCCCCCCAUCUGGCUGGAACACACAUCAGUCACCCCUGUGUAACCUCCUCUGUGCCUUUCCCAUGGAGCACUGUGUCAUAUCACAAGUAGAACUACAAGAAGAUAUUUCUCCUCAGGGCAGAGGCUGGGUCUUCCGAUUGAAUCUCCCUUCUUUCUUCAUUGAGAUCCUCUUCUUCUGGAAGCUGGUUUCACAUGGUGGCUUAGAUUUUUCCAUCUUUGUAUCUAGCACCAUUUGAAAUCAGUGUUUUAGGAGUAAGAAUUGCAGCACAGCCAAGGGUGGACUGCAGAGGAACUGCUGCUCAUGGAACUGGCUCCUCUCCUCUUGCCACUUGAGUCUGUUCGAGAAGUCCAGGGAAGAACUUGAAGAGCAAAAUACACUCUUGAGUUUGUUGGGUUUUGGGAGAGGUGACAGUAGAGAAGGGGGUUGUGUUUAAAAUAAACACAGUGGCUUGAGCAGGGGCAGAGGUUGUGAUGCUAUUUCUGUUGACUCCUAGCAGCCAUCACCAGCAUGAAUGUGUUCGUAGGGCCUUUGAGUGUGGCGAUUGUCAUAUUCUGUUGGAUAACAAUGUAUUGGGUGUCGAUUGUCAUGGGGCAGGGGAGAGGGCAGUACACCUGGAGGACCAUUUUGUCCACAUCGACACCAUCAGUCUGCUCUUAGAGGAUGCCCUGGAGUAUUCGGCGUUGAUUGCGGGGCACCCGAAAUCAGACUUGCCACCUGGACUGUCGAGGUGCAGACCCUGGGAGCACCACUGGCCCAUCUCUUACACAGGCUGACCGAUUUCUCCUGGUGUUCAGAGUCUGUUUUUGUCUAGCACCAUUUGAAAUCGGUUAUGAUGUAGGGGGAAAAGCAGCAGCCUCGAAGCCUCAUGCCAACUCUGGGCAGCAGCAGCCUGUGGUUUCCUGGAAGAUGGAUGGGCAGAGAAUAGGGAAGGAAGAUCAUGCUUUUCCCUACUAACUUCUGUAACUGCAUGUAUGAUACAUUAUUGCAGAGGUAAGAGAUAGUUUAAUGGAUUUUUAAAAACAAAUUACUAUAAUUUAUCUGAUGUUCUCUAGUUGCAUUUUGCUGAAAUGUAGUGCUGUUCUAAAUUCUGUAAAUUGAUUGCUGUUGAAUUAUCUUUCUGUUGAGAAGAGUCUAUUCAUGCAUCCUGACCUUAAUAAAUACUAUGUUCAGUUU
rnacentral:lncRNA from 1 species